rnacentral:rRNA from 1 species
UACGGGGGGGGCAAGCGUUGUUCGGAAUUACUGGGCGUAAAGGGCUCGUAGGUGGCCAACUAAGUCGGACGUGAAAUCCCUCGGCUUAACCGGGGAACUGCGUCUGAUACUGGAUGGCUCUGAGUUUGGGAGAGGGAUGCGGAAUUCCAGGUGUAGCGGUGAAAUGCGUAGAUAUCUGGAGGAACACCGGUGGCGAAGGCGGCAUCCUGGACCAACACUGACGCUGAGGAGCGAAAGCCAGGGGAGCAAACGGG